rnacentral:rRNA from 1 species
UACGGAGGGUGCAAGCGUUAUCCGGAUUCACUGGGUUUAAAGGGUGCGUAGGUGGGCAGGUAAGUCAGUGGUGAAAUCUCCGGGCUUAACUCGGAAACUGCCAUUGAUACUAUCUUUCUUGAAUACCGUGGAGGUCAGCGGAAUAUGUCAUGUAGCGGUGAAAUGCUUAGAUAUGACAUAGAACACCAAUUGCGAAGGCACUGGCUACACGAAU